AGAAUGGGUUGAUCCCUUAAAAUAUGACAUCCGCCUCUUCUUGUAAUGCAUCGGUCCUCUUUCCAGAAAACAUGAACGCGAAAGGGUGGCUAUAACGCGGCAAUUAGAAGGGGGACAAGGUUUCGAGUCCUAUCUUGACUAAAGGUGGUCUUCGCAUGGCAAUGUAGUCUUCGUGACUCAGUUGUGGACUUGACGAUGACCUUUGUCAUGCUGUCUUGAUCCGUUCUGAUCCUCUAUCUCCAAA
rnacentral:lncRNA from 1 species